ACCUCGCCAGUAUAUCUUCUUACGCCAAACCGCUCGAAAUUUAGCCCUCAUCGGUCAUCGUUCAGAAAAAUCAAAAGCGCAAAGAUGCUGAAGAAAUUCCCCUCAAGCUGCUGCUAUUGUGUAUUCGCGCGACCCUAGCCAACAUCCAAACCGAGCUGCGCGAGAAAUUGGUUUAAGUUCGUGAAAGAUAAAUCUGUCAAACUAAAGCAAGCAACUGAAACAGAUCAUCGCGUUGAACUCAGUGCUAGCAAGAAAG